GAGACACCCUUAUGGUGCAGGACUUGCUUCAGUGGGGCUUUGACACUCACUGAGUCUGCCCCGAGUGUGUCUCU
rnacentral:pre_miRNA from 1 species